UUCACCUCCCAUGAUCUUCUUGAGGGUCACCAUGUGGUAGAGUAUCAGUAUUUCAUUUCUCCCGGCAUUCAUUUUGUAUUCCUGGCACCCCCAGGGCCUGGCGCUUAGCAGGUACUCAGAAGGGGUGAGGAAUCUCACAUGGAGAUCAGAUGCCCUUCCAGGACGGGGGCAGCUAUCCACCAAAGGAAUCCUGGUCAUCCCUGGAGCUGCUGUGGACUAGCCACCCGUGGGACACGGUCAUCCAGGCGGCCAUGCGCAAGUACCCGAACCCGAUGAACCCCAGCGUGCUGGGCGUGGACGUGCUGCAGCGCCGCGUGGACGGCCGCGGCCGCCUGCACAGCCUGCGCCUGCUCAGCACCGAGUGGGGGCUGCCCGGCCUCGUGAGAGCGAUUUUGGGAACCAGUAGGACUUUGACAUACAUCCAAGAACAUUCUGUGGUGGAUCCAGUGGAAAAGAAAAUGGAACUUUGUUCCACCAAUAUCACACUCACAAAUUUGGUGUCAGUUAAUGAGAGGUUGGUGUACACACCUCAUCCAGAGAACCCAGAAAUGACCGUGCUCACACAAGAAGCCAUCAUCACCGUGAAGGGGAUUAGCCUCGGUAGUUAUUUGGAAAGUUUAAUGGCCAACACGAUAUCUUCCAAUGCAAAGAAGGGGUGGGCGGCUAUCGAGUGGAUAAUUGAGCACUCUGAAAGUGCUGUGAGCUAAGGAGGCCUGCGCCUGUGCUUGUGAUAAAUGGUGGUGAGUACAGUAUUCACUCACCCGGGGGGCCUUGCAGCCUCUUGUGACCCGUGUGCAUGGUGCACAUGGUGAGGGGACGCCGGAAAGAUGCAGCUGCUGGUGGCUCUCCAGCCCAGAGCUCCUUAGUUUUCCACGGUGACCCAGAAUCACUGGGUUCAUCUUCUUUCUAUUUCAUUCCUUGCUUUGUGGCAGGAUCUAGGUUCCAAGGCCAUUUCCUUUGAGCAGUGAAAGCCUUUUCUGAUGUCUCCUUGAGCUUCACGAACAUUGCUUGGCGUCCUGGGCUGUCAGUGGCUGGACUUCUAGGCGCCUUGCCCUGAUGACCAGCGGCCACCAGGGCCUGCUCCCCGGGGAGGAUGCGCCUCCCACCAGAGGCUGCACUGCGCUGCUCUGGGCCGCUCAUCCCCAUCUGUUCCCAUCUGUCCCCCGCGUGUGUGGCUCCGGGGAUCCUUAAGAACUUUGUGCUAUUUUGCCGGAGUCACUGAAGCCAAGCUUUGCUCUCCUUGAACCCAAGCCGGGGGCGGCCUUGGGCCUCGCCUCCUUCGUGGCCGCACCCUGGGUUCAGCGCCGAUGCUUCCCAGAAGAAAGGAAAGAAGCAGGUGAGGAGGUGAGGAGAGGACAAGCGAGGACGGGACGGAAGAGCGCGUCUGGCUGCGAGGGCGCGCAGGGCCGGGGAGGAGGAUCGGGCUGGACUCAUCGCGGGUCGCAGGUGACCCCGGGACUGGACGUCCCUCCCCUCAUGAGCGUGCAACAGGGAGC